rnacentral:tRNA from 1 species
GGCCCCAUAGUUCAAUGGAUAAAACGGCCCCCUCCUAAGGGGUAGAUGUAGGUUCGAUUCCUACUGGGGCCGCCA